rnacentral:rRNA from 1 species
GCAUAUCAAUAAGCGGAGGAAAAGAAACCAACAGGGAUUGCCYCAGUAACGGCGAGUGAAGCGGCAACAGCUCAAAUUUGAAAUCUGGCCCCAGGCCCGAGUUGUAAUUUGCAGAGGAUGCUUUUGGCGCGGUGCCUUCCGAGUUCCCUGGAACGGGACGCCAUAGAGGGUGAGAGCCCCGUACGGUUGGACACCAAGCCUUUGUAAAGCUCCUUCGACGAGUCGAGUAGUUUGGGAAUGCUGCUCUAAAUGGGAGGUAUAUUUCUUCUAAAGCUAAAUAUAGGCCAGAGACCGAUAGCGCACAAGUAGAGUGAUCGAAAGAUGAAAAGCACUUUGAAAAGAGGGUUAAACAGCACGUGAAAUUGUURAAAGGGAAGCGCUUGUGACCAGACUUGCGUCCGGUGAAUCACCCAGCUCUCGCGGCUGGGGCACUUUGCCGGCACAGGCCAGCAUCAGCUCGCUGUCGGGGACAAAAGCUUCGGGAACGUAGCUCUCUUCGGGGAGUGUUAUAGCCCGUUGCAUAAUACCCUUCGGUGGGCUGAGGUACGCGCUCCGCAAGGAUGCUGGCGUAAUGGUCAUCAGCGACCCGUCUUGAAACACGGACCAAGGAGUCAACCUUAUGUGCGAGUGUUUGGGUGUUAAACCCCUACGCGUAAUGAAAGUGAACGCAGGUGAGAGCUUCGGCGCAUCAUCGACCGAUCCUGAUGUUCUCGGAYGGAUUUGAGUAAGAGCAUAUAGGGUUGGACCCGAAAGAAGGUGAACUAUGCGUGUAUAGGGUGAAGCCAGAGGAAACUCUGGUGGAGGCUCGCAGCGGUUCUGACGUGCAAAUCGAUCGUCAAAUAUGCGCAUGGGGGCGAAAGACUAAUCGAACCUUCUAGUAGCUGGUUUCCGCCGA